UGUGGCAUCAAAAUGGUCAACAAAAAAUAUCUUUCUGGUGAUUAUUCAGCACCCUACCUCAGGAACAGAAGGAGAGAUUGUGGCCCUUUUCCCCAUUUAGUUGGAUACUAAAUUCCUGGCUCUGACCUCAGGUGUUCACCUUGAAUCUGCAAUGAUUUUAUAGAUCUCUGCCUGCUUACAGCAAACAUGAAUCAGCCAGUUUCCGUCUUUUCAUCAGGUCCAUUUUUGGCCUUCUAUCGCUCCUUUUAUUUUGAGCAGAAGUGGAAAAAAAUGUUGAGUGAAAGAAAACCGGAGAGAGAGGCAGCCAGUAACAAAAACAGAACAAGCUGAGCAAGAUAUUUUCCUGCUGCAUCACAGGAGAUCAACCAGUAAAUUUAGGCUCAUCAUGUCGGUCACAGCUGGAGGAGCACUGACAUGUGCAUUGUCUUGGUCCAGCCUGUGUACGGAAGAAAAUGAUGGGAUAAUUUCAGGAAGGUCACGACAGCGAUCUUUAGACGUCAGUGAACCGGAGCCUUUUUGGUGUAAAACUGCCUGAACAGGAAAUUAUCUCAUUCACAUGUCUGCUGUGGCUUUGGUAGCGUAAGCUCCUAAAGCAUGA